ensembl:lncRNA
UUUUUUUUUUUUUGUGGUGAUGGUGUGUUUUUUUGCUUUUGCUUUUGUUUUGUUUUUGUUUGUGUUCACAAAUCACCCUGCCUGAUUUACUGAAAGCUUAGCAUAUCUGAAAAAUAUCUUAGAUCUCACAAGAAACAUUGAAAACUUGAAGAAUCCAAAAAGAAGAUUGUUGUCAGUAUAUUUCUGUUAGCAUUUUUCCCCAAAGUGCGAAUAAAUAUAACCAACUGAAAUGAAAAAAAAAAAAAAAAAAGAAGCCUAGCUUCAAAUAAACACAGUGUCAACAAAUCUGAGGUCUAAAUAAAACAUUUUCCUUUAGGAACACAUAAGAUAACUCCAUUAUAAGCACUGGAAUUGAUCUUACUUCUUUCCUUAUUCAAAUAUGAUAAAAGAUAAUUAAAGUGAAAAUCAAGCAAUAAAUAUUGAGUGAAGAAUAAAAAAAAUACAAUAAAAUUACCUAUUUAGGCUUGAAUUAAGCAUAUUUUUACCUUUUCACUCAGCAAAGGAUAUCAAAAGCAUAUAGGUGAAAGAAAAGCAUAUUAAGAAUUAAAAAAAAAAAAAUCUACCUAAAAUUAGGUGCUAGAGAGUUAGAACUUGGAUUAGUAUUAGCAAAUUUUUUAUUGGUUUUAUCACUAGUGGUACUCCCAAAGCAUCAACUAUAAUCAGAGAUCCAUUUGCAGAGGUCAUUCAUUCAUUCAUUAUUUCUCAUUAAAAAAAAAAAAAAAGGAGAGAGAGAGAAAAAGAAACAAAAAAGCUUUCUUUAUCACAGCUUCUAAGUCUCACUUUUAUAAAUAUUACUGAAAGAGAAAACAAAUAAAAACAAAGAGUUUUAUACAGGUUAGAUUACAUAAAUACAAACAACCAAGCCAUCAGUUCCAGCUCUGGAGCAUCUUAUGAUAAUUAUUCCAUUAUAAUUUCACCACAGAAUUAUUUGGAAAAUGUAUGCAAUUUCAGAACAUGAAAGUUAAUGGGUAGCACUGUGGGAAUGAGUAUUCCCCCUGUUAUCUCUUCUUAUCACAAUUUAAUAUUUUUUUAUCCUUUGAAAUUCCUCAGCUCAAAAUUAAACUGAACUACCAGGGCAAGUAUGCCAUCAGAAGACUUAUCUAAAAACAUUUCCCAAAAUGCAGGAAAGGAAAAUAAAUUUAAAAGCAGGAAACAGGAUUAAGGCCAAUGGUACAAAUAACAAAAGAUGUGUAACAAAUGUACAGGCACUGAGCAGCUUUUAACUUCUCAAAUGAGCUGUGAAGGCAUGCUUGCAUAUGUAACACACUUAUUUCAUAGAUAAUUCCAAAGGUCCAAAGUAUGUAACUGUAUCAUGGCCUCCAAUGACAUAUGAAAUCGCAGUCCUCACCCACAGUCUUCCUUGCGUUUGACUGCAUCCAGGGUGGAAAACAAGCUGCAUCUAGAACUUGCCUUAUUCACAACCUAUAGUAAAAAGCCAGCAGAACUGAGAACAGAAUGAUGGCUCAUGGGCUGAUGAGGUAGCCAGCAUUUGUAAAUCACAUCACAAUGACAGAAAAACAGCAUCUCCCGAACAGUGUAAUUUUGCAGCUAUGUUGUAAAGAGACAAAAUGGACAUGAAGGAUUCAGCUAUCUAAACACAGGUUUGCAGAGCCAUUGGAGAUAUAGGGUAGAGAAGACCUCAUGUGAGGACUGGCAGAUAUGACAUUAGCACAGAAUGCUAGCACAGAAUGAUUAGCAAAGAAGAAGCAGUCUAGGAGGUUUCUAGAAUGUAUGGAGGGCAACUUCUUGAUGCAGGUGAUAAGAGAACCUACGAGAGGAGCUGCCCUGUUAGACCUGUUGUUCACAAACAGAGAAGGUCUGGUGGGAGAUGUAGAGGUUGGAGGCUGUCUUGGGCAGAGUGACCAUGACAUGGUAGAGUUCUCGAUUCUUGGUGGAGUCAGGAGGGGGAACAGCAAAACUGCUACCUUGGACUUCCGGAGAGCAGACUUUGAAUUGUUCAGGAGACUAGUAGGGAGAGUCCCCUGGGGCUCAGUCUUAGAGAGUAAAGGGGUACAAGAUGGCUGGUUGCUCUUUAAGAAGGAAGUCUUAAAGGCGCAGGAGCAGGCACCAAAUAUCUAUGGUUAUGCAUUGGAAUUAAGCUAGAAAUAAGGCACUGAAAGGAAUAUUUGCCCUGACUAUUUUUAAAGGUCUCAUUGACCUUAUUAAUUGCAGGCUUAGGUUUGCUUGCUCCUCAAUUGCUCAAUGGAAAUUCAAAGUAAUUCAGAAGAAAUGAGACUAAAAAUACUUUGACUGGACAUUCACUAACUUGCAGAGUAGUCUGAUUGUGCUCCCUUACUGGUUGUAUAGAUAGCCUGGAUUAUCUGACUUGCUAUGAAGACAUAUAGGUAAGACACUUAUUCUCAAGUGUUUUUGCAUUCUCCUCUGAAUAACAGGUGAGGUAUUUUUACUUCAGGAAAUGGCAAAAAUCAGUGGACAUUCUUAUGUUGAUUGUUUAAAGUCUCAUAGAGUAAACAAAAAGAUGGGAUGUUCUCUUUCCAUCAUUUCCUCAUUAAUAAGAACAUUUCAGCCUUUUUGUGAGAAAAGGAGGCGUGACUGUGCCAUUAGACAAUGCCUACGUAAUGCCACUGAUCUUCUUGAAACAUGGGCUUUGACACUAUCUCACUAAAUUGACAGCGAAGGUCAACAUUUGUUUCAAUUGAAAAUACCAGCACAGUGGCUUAGUGUGUUUUCAAUUAAUGUAUUUGAUAAAUCUAUCCUUUCUUUACAUUUGCACAAACAAGACCUACAAGUAAACACAUCGUAAUAUUGGAGUUAUAAGGCAAGGCAAAUAGUGAAGCAGUUCAGAGUAAUUUCUGACCUGGUUUCCAUAUAUAUAUGUAUGUAAGCAUGCAUAUAUAUUUGAAAUGCCUAUAAGGGAAAAGGUACAGCUUUCCGUUAUUUUUUCAGAUGUGUUGGUGUGCUCUACAUCCAAGAUAAGUUUGUCAGAAGAAAGGAGGAAUAAUUCACAGUCUUUUAGCUGAUCAUACAAGGGAUUGCUUUCUUCCAUUUGAAUGUCUUGUGAUUGGUGAGCAAGCUUCUGCAGCUCAGCAGAGAAUCCUCAAGUGAAUUCUGAUGCUAUUUUGAUGGUAUUAAGACAACGAUGCAUAAUAACAUGACACGCUGGGAUGUGAGGGGCUUUUUCUCUGAGUUCUUCCUUUCUUUCUGAGGGAAAGAUGAUUUUUUUUUUUCUAAACAGGAUUAAGUCUUUUAACUUAGAAUGCAAAUUGCCUAUAGGAAUCUGUCUUUUUUUUUUGUUUGUUUGUUUGUUUGUUUGUUUGCUUUAGCUUUGAAAAUAAAUGCAUUAAGAGGAGUUGUAGCAAUUUUCAGUGACUGCAGAUCUCGGAUUAUGAUUUUCGCCUUCAAAGAGACCAAAACAUUUUUUAAAAAAGAGAUUAAACUAUAGUUUAUUAAACACUGAAUUGGAUUGUUUGUUUCAAGAAAUUCAACGAUUGUCAGAUAUAACUUCAUCAUAAUGUUCAAUGACUAUUUCCAGGAAACAAACAAAAAAAACCCCAACUAGAUAUAGUCAGCAAUAUCUUCUACUGAAAAAAUGUACAAACUCACAUGUUGUUUAUCUAAUUAUGUGCUUUGAAUCAAAAAGAGUAAAUACGUUUAAUUAAUUAAAAGAGUUUAAAGUUCAAACUAGAUAAUUACUUUAACCAGUAUUCCCAGUAAUAUAGUAAUAUUGAUGCUAAAGAAACUUCCUUUUUCCCUUUAAAGUUGUGGACAGCAAGGUAAGGUGUGAAAAAGGCUGUAAAGUGUUUCUAGGUCCAAAUUUAUGACCUUGAAAACCCACACCUGAUAUCUGACUGCCAGAGUGCCAAGGUAUAUAGACACAUUAGCACUUAAACAUUCCUUGGGUGCCUUGGCAUUUCCAGCAUUAUGUGCCUGAAUAUGCUUACUUCUUAAACCCAAUCAAAAUCUAGAAAGCAUUUUUUUUCUCUGCUUCAAUUCGCUGUACAGUUAUGUUAAGAAAUCACUGACAGUUCAUUCAGGACUGAUCAAAAGAAUUGUGCACUUCAGAGAAUGCAAAAGUGGCUGUCAUUUAGGAAAAAAAAAAAAAAAAAAAAA